CUUGCCUGUGGGGAAAAGAAAGAGAGAUCAGACUGUUACUGUGUCUAUGUAGAAAGAAGUAGACAUAAGAGACUCCAUUUUGUUCUGUACUAAGAAAAAUUCUUCUGCCUUGAGAUGCUGUUAAUCUGUAACCCUACCCCCAACUCUGUGCUCGCAGAAAUAUGUGCUGUGUCGACUCAAGGUUUAAUGGAUUUAGGGCUAUGCAGGAUGUGCUUUGUUAAACAGAUGCUUGAAGGCAGCAUGCUUGUUAAAAGUCAUCACCACUCCCUAAUCUCAAGUACCCAGGGACACAAAACACUGUGGAAGGCCGCAGGGACCUCUGCCUAGGAAAGCCAGGUAUUGUCCAAAGUUUCUCCCCAUGUGAUAGUCUGAAAUAUGGCCUCGUGGGAAGGGAAAGACCUGACCAUCCCCCAGCCCGACACCCAUAAAUGGUCUGUGCUGAGGAGGAUUAGAAAAAGAGGAAGGCCUCUUUGCAGUUGAGAUAGGAGGAAGGCAUCUGUCUCCUGCUUGUCCCUGGGCAAUGGAAUGUCUCGGUGUAAAACCUGAUUGUAUAUUCCAUCUACUGAGAUAGGAGAAAACUACCUUAAGGCUGGAGUUGAGACAUGCUGGCAGCAAUACUGCUCUUUAAUGCACUGAGAUGUUUAUGUAUGUGCACAUCAAAGCACAGCACCUUUUUCUUAACCUUGUUUAUGAUACAGAGACAUUUGUUCACAGGUUUUCCUGCUUACCCUCUCCCCACUAUUACCCGAUUGUCCUGCCACAUCCCUCUCUCCGAGAUGGUAGAGAUAAUGACCAAUAAAUACUGAGGGAACUCAGAGACCGGUGCCGGCGCUGGUCCUCCCUAUGCUGAGCGCCAGUCCCCUGGGCCCACUUUUCUUUAUCUAUACUUUGUCUCUGUGUCUCUUCUUUUCUCAAGUCUCUUGUCCCACCCGACGAGAAAUGCCCACAGGUGUGGAGGGGCAGGCCACCCCUUCAUUGCCAUGAAUACUGAUCUGGGGCUAUGGCAGCUAUGUGUGGCCACAAGGUUGUCCACAUGUCCAAACGCAGAAGAUUAGAAGGAUUUAGACAGCGAAUGGCAUUGAUGAUGCUGUUGAGCUGCCGACAGCCCUCAGUCUCUUGACCUCUAGACUUUUUAUUACACAUGUCCAAAUUUAUAAGAUCUACCUACCCGUGACUUAUAGAUUUCAAUGGGCUCCUUAUCACACACAAAAAAGAGCUCUCACACUGAAUUAGAAGUCCAUGCAGAUGCAGAUUAUCUGACAAGUAGAAAUGGACUUGUAGGAUAACCAGAAUGAAUAAAUCAGAAUAAUUCUGUAUUUAUUAUUGCUGUAGCUAUAAAUUAUGUUCUUACAAUUUGGCAUUACAGUAUACAAAUGGUUCCAUACUACAAAACAAGGUGGUUUAAGAUGAAACACAAACAAAACAAGACCAAACAAAACAAGAAACCCUUAUGAUUUGUGGUUUAAAAAUUAACAGGGUCUUAAAUCUCUCAGGAAGCCAAAACUGCAGCUUCUCAGCUUGCCCUUUUGCUGACAGCUCUGCUUUUAUGUAUUCUGACCUGUUAUUUUAAUUUUCUUCUGAUCAUAGUAGGAGGAGAGCCUCUUUGAAAUGAUAACAUCUUACAGUUUUGUCUCUUUCCAAUCAACUCUUUUUCCACCCAUCACUGAUGCAACAGCAUCCUCAACCCUAUGGAAGACCACAGAUGGAACUCCAGUAUACACUUCACUCAGGAAGGCCUGUAAAGAAAUUCUUGUAAAUGAAGAAAACCUACUCAAUUAUAAUUUUUAUUAGCAACUACUUCCAAUAUGUAUGAGAUGUAUGAAUUAUAAUGAUUGUUUUCUUUGUUGACAAAGAGUCAAACUCUGUAAAAUAUUUGAAGAUAUUUAUUUUGAGCAAAAUUUGAGUGACUGAUGGUCCACGACACAGCCCUCAGGAGAACCUGAGAACAUGUGCCCAAGGUCGUUGGGCUACAACUUGGUUUUAUACAUUUCAGGGAGACAUAAGACAUCAAUCAAUACAUGAAAGAUGUACAUUAGUUUGGUCCAGAAAGGUGGGACAACUGGAAGCAGGGGCUUGCAGGUCAUAGGCUGAUUCAGAGAUUUUCUCAUUGGCAAUUGGUUGAAAGAGUUAUUUUCUAAAGACCUGGAGUGAAUAAAAAGAAAUGCUUGGGUUAUGAUAAGAGGUUGUAGAGACCAACGUUUCAUUAUGCAGAUGAAGUCUCCAGGUAGCAGGCCUCAGAGAGAAUAGGCUGUAAAUGUUUCUUAGGGGACUGAAAGGGUCUGUUCCAUCAGUAAUUCCAAAAGGUAGGAGGGUAUAAUUAGGCAUGUCUGUCUCCUCCUUCCCAUCAUGGCCUCAACUAGUUUUUCAGGUUGACUUUGAAAUGCUCUUGGCUGAGAGGCGGAGUCUAUUCAGAUGGUUGGGGGACUUAGAAUUUUAUUUUUGGUUUACAUCUUGAAUGAUUAUGGAGAAAGUUCUUCUUUCCCCAUAUUUUAUCUCGUUAUGUUUCUCUACUCUCCAGAAAUGACUGAGGAGAAUAUUUACACAGAGGUGAAAUCUCAUGACAAAAGAAAAAAUACGAUCCAGAACUACUGGCAGUCAAUAUACUUAUGGACACCCGUGUUCCAAGUGCUGUGCGAGCUGCCAGUGAUACUAAGAAGACACUGUGUUUUGUUGUGGUUUACUGCAAUGCUUUCUUGCACUAGAUUUAAAAAUCCUCAAGAAUGACACUUAUUUCCAAAUACCUAUGUUGGUGCAUUUGAAAUCUAAAAGAAAGCCAAUGUAGGAGGAGACUGGGAGUAGGGAGAGUCACAGAAGAUGAAGAAGUAGAGGCCAGAGAAUGAGUUAAUUUUUGAUGCUUAUCUUACAUUCGAAGGGAAGUCAUUUUCAAUGGAGGAGAGAAAGGGUAAAGAUUGCAUUUUAGGAGAAUAGGCUGCCUGCAGUGUGGAGGAUUUAUUAGCUGAAGAUGAGUGGAUACAAUCUAAAAUUUCCUUGUUGUGAAAAGUCUUUGCAGUUUAUGAGUCUCAUAGUAUAGGAAAAGUAAGGAGUGUUUAAAUAAAUUUAAAUCAAACACAAAUAAAUCUGUGACUGUAAAAUCGUUCCAUCACCUGUGACUCUCACUUCAAAUUUUUACAAAAAGGACAAAUAGCAGUGACAGUACUUUUGCCCACUCCUACCUUAUAAACCCUAGUGCCACUACUGUUGGACACUACUGUUUCAGCAAAUAAGGAAACAUAUAAGACAAAGAACACAGGAGUCAGGAGGAAGCAGCUUAUUUUGAUCAAGUUGUGACAAGUUGAGCAUUAAUAAUAAUAAAUUAAUUGAAAUACACUAAUAUUUUAUAAGGCAAUGAGUUUCUAAUGAUACUUAAAAGACAAAAGUUCUCUAGAUUACAACUAUUGGUAGUUAUUAAUAUUGUUUUGUUUCAAACACUGUUGCAAUUACACUUUUAAUUUAUAUGCUAAUUUCUUUCAUCUGAUUUAUCACGCCAAUAUGUUUGUGUCGCAAUAUAAUCAUGAAUUGUUUACUUGUAGGUCACCCGUCCAAGGGCUGUGCUAGCUGCCAGUGAUACUAAGAUGCUGUGUUUUACUAUUGGUAGCUGUAAUCUAAGAGGAGGAAUAUAAUAGAUUAGAUUUAAAAAAUGUAUUUCAAUAAACUGAUAAAAAUUUUA